rnacentral:rRNA from 1 species
UACUCCUACGGGGGGCAGCAGUGGGGAAUAUUGGGCAAUGGGUGCAAGCCUGACCCAGCAACGCCGCGUGAAGGAAGAAGGCUUUCGGGUUGUAAACUUCUUUUAUCAGGGACGAAGCAAGUGACGGUACCUGAUGAAUAAGCCACGGCUAACUACGUGCCAGCAGCCGCGGUAAUACGUAGGUGGCAAGCGUUAUCCGGAUUUACUGGGUGCAAAGGGCGUGUAGGCGGGAGUGCAAGUCAGAUGUGAAAACU